rnacentral:rRNA from 1 species
UACGGAGGAUGCGAGCGUUAUCCGGAUUUAUUGGGUUUAAAGGGUGCGUAGGCGGCUUUUUAAGUCAGCGGUGAAAUUUUGCAGCUUAACUGUAAUAGUGCCGUUGAUACUGGGGAGCUAGGAUUUGGUUGCUGUGGGUGGAAUGAGUGGUGUAGCGGUGAAAUGCUUAGAGAUCACACAGAAUAUCGAUUGCGAAGGCAGCUCACAAAGCCAAGAUUGACGCUGAGGCACGAAAGUGUGGGGAUCAAACAGGAUUA